UACGUAGGGGGCAAGCGUUGUCCGGAAUCAUUGGGCGUAAAGCGCGUGUAGGCGGUUCGAUAAGUCUGCUGUGAAAGUCCAGGGCUCAACCCUGGAAAGCCGGUGGAUACUGUCGGACUAGAGUGCGGAAGAGGCGAGUGGAAUUCCCGGUGUAGCGGUGAAAUGCGCAGAUAUCAGGAGGAACACCUAUUGCGAAGGCGGCUACCUGGACAGGUACUGACGCUGAAGCGCGAAAGCUAGGGGAGCAAACAGG
rnacentral:rRNA from 1 species